UAGUCAUAUGCUUGUCUCAAAGAUUAAGCCAUGCAUGUGUAAGUAUAAGUAUUAUACGGCGAAACUGCGAAUGGCUCAUUAAACCAGUUAUUAUUUAUUUGAUAAUCGAAAGUUACAUGGAUAACCGUGACAAAUUACAGCUAAUACAUGCAAAAAGACCUGGCUCAAGGGUCGUAAUUAUUAGUAUUAAACCAUUUCCGUCAGGAGUGUGAUGAAUCAUAAUAACUCGAGCGAAUCGCAUGGCCCCUGUGCCGGCGAUGCAUCAUUCAAAUUUCUGCCCUAUCAACUUUCGAUGGUAAGGUAUUGGCUUACCAUGGUUGCAACGGGUGACGGGGGAUUAGGGUUCGAUCCCGGAGAGGGCGCCUGAGAGAUGGCGACCACAUCCAAGGAAGGCAGCAGGCGCGCAAAUUACCCAAUACUGAUUCGGUGAGGUAGUGACAAGAAAUACCAAUGUAGGACCUUAUGGGUACUACGUUUGGAAUGAGUACAAUUUAAAAACCUUAACGAGGAACAAUU
rnacentral:rRNA from 1 species